rnacentral:lncRNA from 1 species
CAGUCAGACUCAGCCGCCUCAGACAGUUCACCCUCAGUGAGACGAAGGGCAAUUCGACAGAAGCACUGACAAACUGCCAGAAUAACUAUUCUGAUCCAGUCACUGUGUACAUCCAGGAGGAAUAUGAGCAGCUGAUACAGUUAAUGACAUCUGACAAAAUCGACCGUGGCUGGAUAGGUCUGCAUCGCACACAGCCCAGUCUGGUGUGGUCUAAUGGAGACCCUGUUAAUGACACUGCAUGGUCACCUCCUAAUUACACAAAUCCAAACUGUGUAGCAAUCAACCCUAAUGUAACAUGGGAGAUAUGUUUUCAAGAGAAAAACUUCAUGUGUUAUAAAGAAGAAUCAUUCCACCUAAUCACCGAAACAAAGACCUGGGAGCAAGCUCUGGACUACUGCAAUAAGAACUACCAUGGACUGCUAAGGUUGGAGUCUGACCACAAGAUUGUUGAGCAGAAACUGAGUUGUAGUGUGAAACCUGUACCUGGUCCUGUGUGGAUGGGUCUAAGGCAGAGCCGUCUCUUUGGGUUUUGGCUCUGGACCAAUGGGAUGCCAGUGCAGUGGAGUAACUGGGAGGGGUACAGACAGCCUUAACAGCCUCUGUCCAACCACUGUGGCGCCAUGGCAAUGAAGAAGGGAGAUUUUAAGUGGAGUGAUCAGGACUGUAUGUCCCCUCGCUACUUUAUCUGUGAGGGGUAGUAGAAACCUCCUUGAGUGUGCACUGCGCAUUCAAUUUAAUAUGUUGUUUUCAUUAGAGGUAUGGGUGUACGUGAAAAGUUUAUUUCCAAAACACUACUGUGUAUCCACCAAUUUGUGUUUUUCAUCAAGAAUUAUUGCUUAUGGUUACCUUCAUGUGUGUGUAAAAUAUUACUGUUCUCAGAUUUUUUAUAUUCAUAGAUUUUUUAUGUGUUUGAAAAAAUGUGUUCUUUUGCAAAACGCUAUAUAUCCAUUGUUUAGCAGGAAUGGAAUGUUUAGGUAAUCUAACCAGUUGAAAGUAUCCGUUGGAACUUAAAGAAUAUGAUGUCAGAUCAGUUGUCGUCUGAGACAUUAUUACUGACGAUAGGACGACAUAAACUGUAUCUCGGAAAGCCUACACAUUCUAGUUAUCAGAUUCACAUGGAAUUGUUGUGCAAUUUAAAUGUUUAAAUAUGAAACUAUUUGUGAAAAGAUUAAAUGUAAUUUUGGCUUCUAAAUGAGAGAAUUGUUUUCAUAAGUGAACUAUGCUCACUCAGUGGCCCAGCCCAAGUGAACAGGCAUUGGUUGUGAAAUAUGAAACACGCCCUUCUCUCUCCCACUACAAAAGCCCAUUGACGAAAGUCAACAUCUUGUGUUCCCGAUGACAUGAGGACUGCUGUCCAUCCGUUUAAAAGGGCUAAUAUCAACUACAGAACUAAGCCAACCUCAGCGUGAGCUCUGGUUGCGAAUGGUUGAACGACUACAACCUAACGAAAUUAAAAUUGUGUUCCCGAUGACUUGAGGACUGAUGUCCAUACGUUUACAAGGGCGAAUUCCAACGUGGAGGUGACGAUCGCCACGCCGGAAGGAUGAAUGUGACUAUACCAGCCAGAAUACAGCAUGAGAUUAUAGUGUGGCAACUUAGUAUGAACUUUGAACUCUUAUUCACUAAAGAAGUGAUACAUCCUAGAUGUCAAGUUAUCAGCAGCAGCUGUAAACGUGGGCUAGGAAAGGACGGACAAUCUCUUCAAAACGACAGGGUACUACAACGUAUCCGUUCUACCACACGACGACGGUACUACAACAUAUGCGUUCUACCACAAGACAUAUUCUUCAAAGGACAAGGGAGAUCUCUGCUGGGCAAACCAGCCUUCCAUCUUCAACCAAUCUAUCGAAGCGCAGCUCAGAGUAAAUAUUUCUUGAGUUUUCCUUUUCCAAAUGGGCGGUUAUUUAGAAUGCAUAAGAUUCUGUAUUUACGAUAGCAUAGCUUCAUAAGGUCCGAUAGAGACCCAAUCCUUUUGUUCCUCAUUCUUCCCACGCUUUCAUUCAAACCCAACCCCCUUUCUUUGUGUAACCAGCCGUCAUAUCGGUUCCGCCCGCUAGGGACGUUUUCUUGUAUGACAUAAUUAGUAAUCAAUGUAUGAUCCAUCCUGUGUAUAUGUAAUUCUGUGUGAUUAUUUAGGUAUUUAAAUAAAUAAAUAAUUAAACCAAAUGUUGUAUUGCUGAUUCAACUUGUUAGCCAGGGUUUGUGAAUAUAACC